rnacentral:tRNA from 1 species
GCGCCGGUGGAGUAAAGGCUUAACAUUGCGUCCGGCGAGCGGUUAGUGCGGGUUCGAAUCCCGUCCGGCGUU